GGUUAAGCGACUAAGCGUACACGGUGGAUGCCCUGGCAGUCAGAGGCGAUGAAGGGCGUGCUAAUCUGCGAUAAGCGCCGGUAAGGUGAUAUGAACCGUUAUAACCGGCGAUACCCGAAUGGGGAAACCCAGUGUGACUCGUCACACUAUCAUUAACUGAAUCCAUAGGUUAAUGAGGCGAACCGGGGGAACUGAAACAUCUAAGUACCCCGAGGAAAAGAAAUCAACCGAGAUUCCCCCAGUAGCGGCGAGCGAACGGGGAGGAGCCCAGAGCCUGAAUCAGCAUGUGUGUUAGUGGAAGCGUCUGGAAAGGCGCGCGAUACAGGGUGACAGCCCCGUACACAAAAGCGCAUGUGCUGUGAGCUCGAUGAGUAGGGCGGGACACGUGGUAUCCUGUCUGAAUAUGGGGGGACCAUCCUCCAAGGCUAAAUACUCCUGACUGACCGAUAGUGAACCAGUACCGUGAGGGAAAGGCGAAAAGAACCCCGGCGAGGGGAGUGAAAAAGAACCUGAAACCGUGUACGUACAAGCAGUGGGAGCACAGGUUUACCUGUGUGACUGCGUACCUUUUGUAUAAUGGGUCAGCGACUUAUAUUCUGUAGCAAGGUUAACCGAAUAGGGGAGCCGGAGGGAAACCGAGUCUUAAUUGGGCGUUAAGUUGCAGGGUAUAGACCCGAAACCCGGUGAUCUAGCCAUGGGCAGGUUGAAGGUUGGGUAACACUAACUGGAGGACCGAACCGACUAAUGUUGAAAAAUUAGCGGAUGACCUGUGGCUGGGGGUGAAAGGCCAAUCAAACCGGGAGAUAGCUGGUUCUCCCCGAAAGCUAUUUAGGUAGCGCCUCGUGAAUUCAUCUCCGGGGGUAGAGCACUGUUUCGGCUAGGGGGCCAUCCCGGCUUACCAACCCGAUGCAAACUGCGAAUACCGGAGAAUGUUAUCACGGGAGACACACGGCGGGUGCUAACGUCCGUCGUGAAGAGGGAAACAACCCAGACCGCCAGCUAAGGUCCCAAAGUCAUGGUUAAGUGGGAAACGAUGUGGGAAGGCCCAGACAGCCAGGAUGUUGGCUUAGAAGCAGCCAUCAUUUAAAGAAAGCGUAAUAGCUCACUGGUCGAGUCGGCCUGCGCGGAAGAUGUAACGGGGCUAAACCAUGCACCGAAGCUGCGGCAGCGAACGUAUCACUUAAAGCGAUUCAGCGGGUUACGAUUGACGGAGCGAAGCGACGUCAAAGCGUAUACAAAGUCGAGUCGGUUUAAGGAUACGUUCGUUGGGUAGGGGAGCGUUCUGUAAGCCUGCGAAGGUGGCCUGUGAGGGUUGCUGGAGGUAUCAGAAGUGCGAAUGCUGACAUAAGUAACGAUAAAGCGGGUGAAAAGCCCGCUCGCCGGAAGACCAAGGGUUCCUGUCCAACGUUAAUCGGGGCAGGGUGAGUCGACCCCUAAGGCGAGGCCGAAAGGCGUAGUCGAUGGGAAACGGGUUAAUAUUCCCGUACUUGGUGUUACUGCGAAGGGGGGACGGAGAAGGCUAUGUUGGCCGGGCGACGGUUGUCCCGGUUUAAGCGUGUAGGUGUGUGUUCCAGGUAAAUCCGGUUCACUUUAACACUGAGGCGUGACGACGAGGCACUACGGUGCUGAAGCAACAAAUGCCCUGCUUCCAGGAAAAGCCUCUAAGCAUCAGGUAACAUCAAAUCGUACCCCAAACCGACACAGGUGGUCAGGUAGAGAAUACCAAGGCGCUUGAGAGAACUCGGGUGAAGGAACUAGGCAAAAUGGUGCCGUAACU
rnacentral:rRNA from 1 species